AGCCCAGGGUUUCGCCGGUUCAGAUCCUGGAGGCUGAGGCGGCGUCCUACAUAGCACAACCAGAGGUUCACUGAAUCUCUAAGAAUUGGGAUCUAACUGGAAAGACAGUUCAAGAAUUAAGGCCGCUGACCCUUAAUGACACUCCAUCUCCCUCAGGACUGGCUGGACCAGAUUUACGACAGAAAGGCCGCAAACAGCCCCUGCUGAUUUCGAGACCCCUCUUCCUCAUCCCGCAAAGACGUCUAUUUGCAUACGCCAGACUCGAGGGAAGCGGCCGGCGGUGGCUGAUUUGCAUGCUCUCGUGCUAUUGGUUGGGAGGGCGGCACGGGAGCCAAUGGCUUGCAGCAGCGUUUACCCGGCGCCGCCUGGUGAGGUAAUGGAAUCCUGGCUGGCCCCGGCCGCCGGCGCGGGCCCCCGCCCUCCCGUGACGUAGCGGCUUCCCCGGCCCCACCCGGCGCGGCGCAGCCGCCCCCGGGAGCGCGCAGGGGGCCCGGCCGAGGCGCGGCGGGCGGCGGGGGCUGCCUGAUCCUUCCGGCCCGGCCCCUCGGGCAGGGCCCGCCGGGCCAGAUCCGAUGUCUGGCGACGUGGAGAGCGAUCUGGAAGCAGACAGCGGAGGAUUACCGAAGUCUGCUCGUUUGGGAGUGCCGGGCCGGCCUCUCACUUCGUAAAUCACGCGGUUCUGCAUUUGUUUACAGCGAGCCUGUUUGAUUUUGCAAUUUAAAAAAUGAGUUACAGAAGAUUUCUGUUUGUUUUUAAUAAAGAGCCUGGCUUGCGUUUAGGGGA